AAUAUUGCACAAUGGGGGAAACCCUGAUGCAGCGACGCCCCGUGAGUGAAGAAGUAUUCCGGUAAGUAAAGCCGUAUCAGCAGGGAAGAAAAUGACGGUACCUGACUAAGAAGCCCCGGCGAACUACGUCCCAGCAGCCGCGGGAAUACGUAGGGGGCAAGCGUUAUCCGGAUUUACUGGGUGUAAAGGGAGCGUAGGUGGCAAAUCAAGUCAGAUGUGAAAGCCCGGGGCUCAACCCCGGGAUUGCAUUUGAAACUGGUAUGCUAGAGUGCAGGAGAGGUAAGUGGAAUUCCUAGUGUAGCGGUGAAAUGCGUAGAUAUUAGGAGGAACACCAGUGGCGAAGGCGGCUUACUGGACUGUAACUGACACUGAGGCUCGAAAGCGUGGGGAGCAAAC
rnacentral:rRNA from 1 species